rnacentral:rRNA from 1 species
UACGGAGGGUGCAAGCGUUGUCCGGAUUUAUUGGGUUUAAAGGGUGCGUAGGCGGCUUGAUAAGUCCGUGGUGAAAGCCAACAGCUCAACUGUUGAACUGCCAUGGAUACUGUUAGGCUUGAGUACAGACGAGGUAGGCGGAAUGGAUCGUGUAGCGGUGAAAUGCAUAGAUACGAUCCAGAACUCCGAUUGCGAAGGCAGCUUACUAGGCUGUAACUGACGCUGAGGCACGAAAGCGUGGGGAGCGAACAGG